GGUGCAUGGUUGUCGUCAGCUCGUGUCGUGAGAUGUUGGGUUAAGUCCCGCAACGAGCGCAACCCUCGUCGCUAGUUUACUUUUCUCUAGCGAUACUGCCCGUAUAACGUGGAGGAGGUGGGAUGACGUCAAGUCAGCACGGCCCUUACAUCCUGGGCUGCACACACGCUACAAUGGGUGAUACAACAGGUUGCAAUAGAGCGAUCUGGAGCCAAUCCCUAAAAUCAUCCUCAGUACGGAUUGCAGGCUGCAACUGCCUGCAUGAAGUUGGAGUUGCUAGUAAACGCAGGUCAGCACACUGCGUUGAAUACGUUCUCGGGCCUU
rnacentral:rRNA from 1 species